rnacentral:lncRNA from 1 species
CUCUCUUUUUGAUGAUGACAAAAUUUUAAGUAUAUAUGCAAUAAAAAUAUAAUAUAUUUUAAUGGAUUUACAAAUAUAGUCAUGAAGUUAAAAAGUAAGAGCUUAUAUAUAUCAACUUCAUGAAUAUUUAAAUUUAUCUUAAAUUCAAAUAUCAAAAUUAUAUUCAACAUACAUUUAUUUCAUAUGAUGUUUAUAAACAAAUAAAUAAGUAUC